rnacentral:rRNA from 1 species
GACGGGGGGGGGCAAGUGUUCUUCGGAAUGACUGGGCGUAAAGGGCACGUAGGCGGUGAAUCGGGUUGAAAGUGAAAGUCGCCAAAAAAGUGGCGGAAUGCUCUCGAAACCAAUUCACUUGAGUGAGACAGAGGAGAGUGGAAUUUCGUGUGUAGGGGUGAAAUCCGUAAAUAUACGAAGGAACGCCAAAAGCGAAGGCAGCUCUCUGGGUCCCUACCCGACGCUGGGGUGCGAAAGCAUGGGGAGCGAACAGG